UACGAAGGGUGCAAACGUUGCUCGGAAUUAUUGGGCGUAAAGCGCACGUAGGCGGCCUUGUAAGUCGGAUGUGAAAUCCCUCGGCUUAACCGAGGACGUGCAUCCGAAACUGUGAGGCUCGAGUAUGGAAGAGGGUCGCAGAAUUCCCGGUGUAGUGGUGGAAUGCGUAGAUAUCGGGGGGAAUACCAGUGGCGAAAGCGGCACCCUAGCAUUAGCCUGACGCUCAUGUGCGAAAGCGUGGGGAGCGAACGGG
rnacentral:rRNA from 1 species